UACGGGGGGGGCAAGCGUUGUUCGGAAUUACUGGGCGUAAAGGGCUCGUAGGCGGCCAACUAAGUCAGACGUGAAAUCCCUCGGCUUAACCGGGGAACUGCGUCUGAUACUGGAUGGCUUGAGUUUGGGAGAGGGAUGCGGAAUUCCAGGUGUAGCGGUGAAAUGCGUAGAUAUCUGGAGGAACACCGGUGGCGAAGGCGGCCUCCUGGACCAACACUGACGCUGAGGAGCGAAAGCCAGGGGAGCAAACGGG
rnacentral:rRNA from 1 species